AGCGAACGCUGGCGGCAGGCCUAACACAUGCAAGUCGAACGAACCCUUCGGGGUUAGUGGCGGACGGGUGAGUAACACGUGGGAACGUGCCUUUAGGUUCGGAAUAACUCAGGGAAACUUGUGCUAAUACCGAAUGUGCCCUUCGGGGGAAAGAUUUAUCGCCUUUAGAGCGGCCCGCGUCUGAUUAGCUAGUUGGUGAGGUAAUGGCUCACCAAGGCUACGAUCAGUAGCUGGUCUGAGAGGAUGACCAGCCACAUUGGGACUGAGACACGGCCAAAACUCCUACGGGAGGCAGCAGUGGGGAAUCUUGCGCAAGGGGCGAAAGCCUGACGCAGCCAUGCCGCGUGGAUGAUGAAGGUCUUAGGAUUGUAAAAUCCUUUCACCGGUGAAGAUAAUGACUGUAGCCGGAGAAGAAGCCCCGGCUAACUUCGUGCCAGCAGCCGCCGUAAAAC
rnacentral:rRNA from 1 species